rnacentral:rRNA from 1 species
GGAAUCUUGAGCAAUGGGCGGCAGCCUGACUCAGUGAUGUUAUGUGGGUGAUGAAGGUUUUCGGAUCGUAAAACUCUGUUGUAAGGGAAGAACAAGUACGAGAGGUAAUGCUCGUACCUUGACGGUACCUUGCAAGAAAGCCACGGCUAACUACGUGCCAGCAGCCGCGGUAAUACGUAGGUGGCAAGCGUUGUCCGGAAUUAUUGGGCGUAAAGCGCGCGCAGGCGGCCUUUUAAGUCUGAUGUGAAAGCCCCCGGCUCAACCGGGGAGGGUCAUUGGAAACUGGAAGGCUUGAGUACAGAAGAGAAGAGUGGAAUUCCAUGUGUAGCGGUGAAAUGCGUAGAGAUGUGGAGGAACACCAGUGGCGAAGGCGACUCUUUGGUCUGUAACUGACGCUGAGGCGCGAAAGCGUGGGGAGCAAACAGGAUUAGAUACCCUUG